GACGAACGCUGGCGGCGCGCUUAACACAUGCAAGUCGAGCGAAGCGGCGGACGGGUGAGUAACACGUGAGUAACCUGCCUUAGACAUUGGGAUAGCCUCGGGAAACCGGGCUUAAUACCAAAUGGUCUAAGAUGGACUCGCGUCCCAUUAGCUAGUUGGUGAGGUAACGGCCCACCAAGGCGACGAUGGGUAGCCGGCCUGAGAGGGGGAACGGCCACAUUGGAACUGAGAAACGGUCCAAACUCUACGGGAGGCAGCAGUGGGGAAUAUUGCACAAUGGAGGGAACUCUGAUGCAGCGACGCCGCGUGAACGAAGAAGGCUUUCGAGUCGUAAAGUUCUUUUAUAUGGGAAGCGGUACCAUAAGAAAAAGCCCCGGCUAACUACGUGCCAGCAGCCGCGGUAAUAC
rnacentral:rRNA from 1 species